AUUAGCCGGGCGUGGUGGCGGGCGCCCGUAAUCCCAGCUACUCGGGAGGCUGAGGCAGGAGAAUGGCGUGAACCCGGGAGGUGGAGGUUGCAGUGAGCCGAGAUUGCGCCACUGCACUCCAGCCUGGGCGACAGAGCGAGACUGUAAAUUUUCACCAGUAUUAGUUCUAUUUGCAAACUGAAAAAUGUUGUAGGCUUAAUGUAAAAUAACCACAUUAGUGAACAUUAUAUCUCUUAGAAGAAAGGCCAUAUUUUGCUCCUGCUUCUGUAAAAAUAUUAUUUGUUUGAAGGGGAAAUAAUGGUAGUGUGACCUUUCACUUAAUUCCUACUCCCUUAAUGUGAGAGAGACAAAAUGAGCUGAAGAAGGAAAAUUCUGGAGUUACACUCCACAACCUUGAACAUACUGACGGACAUCUCUGUUUUGACAACG
rnacentral:lncRNA from 10 species